UAGGGAAUUUUGCGCAAUGGGGGCAACCCUGACGCAGCAACGCCAUGUGAGGGAUGAAGCACUUCGGUGUGUAAACCUCUGUCAGCAGGGACUAAACGGCCGCAAGGCCUUUGAAUGUACCUGCAAAGGAAGCCCCGGCUAACUUCGUGCCAGCAGCCGCGGUAAUACGAGGGGGGCUAGUGUUGUUCGGAAUCACUGGGCGUAAAGGGAGCGUAGGCGGGAGCCUAAGUUGGGUGUUUAAUUCCGGGGCCCAACCCCGGGCGUGCACACAAAACUGGGUUUCUUGAAUAGGGGAGAGGUCGGUGGAAUUGGAGGUGUAGCGGUGGAAUGCGUAGAGAUCUCCAAGAACACCCGUUGCGAAGGCGGCCGACUGGACCCAUAUUGACGCUGAGGCUCGAAAGCAUGGGGAGCAAACAGG
rnacentral:rRNA from 1 species